rnacentral:rRNA from 1 species
UACGUAGGGGGCAAGCGUUGUCCGGAAUCAUUGGGCGUAAAGAGCGUGUAGGCGGCUCGGUAAGUCCGCUCUGAAAGCCCGGGGCUCAACCCCGGGAGGCGGGCGGAUACUGUCGGGCUAGAGUCCGGAAGAGGCGAGUGGAAUUCCUGGUGUAGCGGUGAAAUGCGCAGAUAUCAGGAGGAACACCUAUAGCGAAGGCAGCUUGCUGGGACGUUACUGACGCUAAGGCGCGAAAGCGUGGGGAGCGAACAGG